UACAGAGGGUGCAAGCGUUGUUCGGAAUUAUUGGGCGUAAAGCGCGUGUAGGCGGCUUUGCAAGUCAGAUGUGAAAGCCCUCGGCUUAACCGAGGAAGUGCGUCUGAAACUGCAGAGCUUGAGUGUCGGAGAGGAUGGCGGAAUUCCGCAAGUAGAGGUGAAAUUCGUAGAUAUGCGGAGGAACACCGGUGGCGAAGGCGGCCAUCUGGACGACGAUUGACGCUGAGACGCGAAAGCGUGGGGAGCAAACAGG
rnacentral:rRNA from 1 species